rnacentral:lncRNA from 1 species
AGUCCAGGCAGCCACCAGCUGGCCUGGUCUUGCUGCUUCCUUUAGCGGCUUCCAAGGUCCAGGGACAGGGGGUCUGGGCCACCAAGAGGCUCUGCUAGGCUGUCCCUGCAGCCACAGCCACCCCACUGGACCCCUGCCUCCCAUCUGAGAGGACAGCCCUCUUCCUGGAGCUGGGAUCUGACACUUGCUGAUACCAACGGCAGAUACCAGGUAACGAGAUGUGAGCAGAAACAACCUGUGUCACACCUGGGCAGAAGCUUUAAAGGCCAGUGCUGCCCUUGUUGGGGAAGCAAGUAUAGAUAUGAAUCGUUCCACAACGCGGAGCGCCCCCUGCCGACCCAUGCUGGGCGUGUACUAUAGAUGAGGAGACUGAGGAUCAGAGAGAUAAAGUCACCUGUCCAAGGUCAUACUGUGGAUGUAGCUCUAACCCAAGCCCUCCCGACUGCAGCACAAAUUCUCAGCCACUACCCUAUUAGCCCCUUCAUUUGAAGGUGUCUUCAUCAUUGCCAAGAUUCCUUUUCCUCCCGGCCCCCUAAGUCUUCAGGAUUCCCUCAUCUCAUCUCCCCAGAGAAGCCAUGACACCAUCUUCUCCAAAAACAAAGUCAGCGCUUUCACUGUAGAUGGACCUGUGUUCUUCCCCCAAACUCAGUCCACCUCAUCUCCAGAAAAACUAUAUGACUUGCCCUGGAGAAGAGGGGGAAAAAAAAACCUCUUCCCACCAACUCCACCUCCCAAAUUACUGGAUUUGGGGUAAAUUUACAGGCUGGAGACAGAAGAAUGGAUGUGUAUUUAGCUUUCAAAUUGACUAUUGUUUUAUGUGAAUGUCUGAUAAAGAAAACACAAUGGCUGCCAGAUGGGGCCUGGGAGUGAGAUUUCCCAUGUGGAGAAUUCUAGAAGACAUGCCUGGAGUUCUGGAGCCUGGAUCCUCUGGACAGACAGGUGGCCAGCUAACCAGGGUGGAGGCACCAAAGAUAACUGUGGGGUGGGGAGAAGACACCAGCCCAAGAGAUUUGACUGGGAUUGGUCUACGCAAGAAUGGAAAAUGGAGGCAGAAUGAGUUAGCAGCAAGCACACGUACACUGCUAUAGAAUCUGAGGGACCCGGCCAGUGCUGGCCAAUAGAAAUAGAAUGUGAGCCACAGACAUAAUUUAAACUUUUCUUGUAGUCACUUAAAAACAUGGUAAAUCUAUGAAAUAGAAGAUUGCUCGUGCAAAUAAAUGAACUCUGCUUUGGUCUCAGUGA